rnacentral:rRNA from 1 species
GGAGGGUGCGAGCGUUGUCCGGAAUCACUGGGCGUAAAGGGCGCGUAGGCGGCUUGAUAAGUAGGGGUGAAAUCCCACGGCUCAACCGUGGGCCUGCCUCCUAAACUGUCGGGCUUGAGCACGGUAGAGGCAGAUGGAAUUCCCGGCGUAGCGGUGGAAUGCGUAGAUAUCGGGAAGAACACCAGUGGCGAAGGCGGUCUGCUGGGCCGUUGCUGACGCUGAGGCGCGACAGCGUGGGGAGCAAACAGGAUUAGAUACCCUGGUAGUCCACGCCGUAAACGAUGGGCACUAGGCGUCGGGGGGGAGCGACCCCUCCCGGUGCCGUCGCUAACGCAGUAAGUGCCCCGCCUGGGGAGUACGGCCGCAAGGCUG